AUACGUAGGGGGCAAGCGUUAUCCGGAUUUACUGGGUUUAAAGGGUGCGUAGGCGGGUCUUCAAGUCAGACGUGAAAUACCGGGGCUUAACUCCGGGGCUGCGUUUGAAACUGUAGAUAUUGAGUGAAGUAGAGGGAAGCGGAAUUCCUAGUGUAGCGGGGAAAUGCGUAGAUAUUAGGAGGAACACCAGUGGCGAAGGCGGCUUACUGGGCUUUAACUGACGCUGAGGCACGAAAGCGUGGGGAGCAAACAGGAUUAGAUACCCUGGUAGUCCACGCUGUAAACGAUGAUUGCUAGGUGUGGGGGGUCUGAUCCCCUCCGUGCCGGAGUUAACACAAUAAGCAAUCCACCUGGGGAGUACGACCGCAAGGUUGAAACUCAAAUGAAUUGACGGG
rnacentral:rRNA from 1 species